rnacentral:rRNA from 1 species
AUGUUUUCAUCAGGGUUGAGAAGAAUGCUAGCAAGCGUUAAGGAGAAUGCCAGUGAGGUGCGCAGCAGGGAGUUUAAAGCACCGACACUCGGUCAGUCACUUCCUACAUGUAACCCAACGCAAAGGUCCAAGGAAUGGUGUGAUUAUUACGCUGCCAACGACAGUGAAACUCGCUCUGAAGUUUUUGAGGAGAUGCUCAAAGAUGUAUCAGAGCCUUGGGCACAAACAUGUCGUGAUAUACAUAAGUACUUGGAAGAACACACAUACACUUGUAUGGUGGAGGCUAUGAUUGCCGCUAAACAUGGCUUUAGUAACCCGGCCCAGCAUAAAUUGGAUGCUCAAGCAUUUUUGGAAUCAGAAGGGGCAUUUGAAGCUCCUGAAGUCCCUGAGUCCUCUCCAAGAGAGAAUAUAGCACAGGGCGAAGUGUCUACUGAGGAAAUCAUCAAGAAUGGUAAAAAGUGGAUGGGUGAGGAAGUCAUGUUGGCUUUUAAGAAGUACAAGGAAGGAAAGAGCCAAUUCAAAGACGUGGUGCAUUAUGACCUAGAUGAGCUUCAACAUCAGUGCUUCAGCAUGGAGAGCUAUGAUCAUACCUUCCAUCACUUCAACUUCACCGUUAAGAUGGAGAAAUCAGGCGGCGAUUCGUCAUCGACGCCCUUUUUUGCUGAGGUGAAAGAGAUCCAUGGAAGAAAAUAUUAUUCCUGCUACGAACUAAGUUCUUAUGAUGAUGGUCACUGCUAUGCGUGCAAAAAUCAAGGAAUGCAUGCACUGAAGCACCCUAUUUGUCUAAUGGGGUAUGACAGUGGUCAUGCUGAUAUGGAGUCCCCCUUCCUUUAUCUUAGUGAUGACGAAUAA